UGUGAAUUGACAGUAUUCAUUUUCAAAAUAUUAAAUUGUAGAGGAUCUGAGAUCUGCAGCUUCUCGCAGGAGGUGGUGAGGAUCCCUCCUAUUUGUCUUCAUAAUUGUGGGACUCAACAGAGGCUGCCUGCUGACAUGUCUCUCCACCUUGUCACUGGUUUGUUUGUGCCCGCUAUACAGGCUGCUGCUGUGCAGAUCACCCUCGGAGAAGUCUCCGUGUUAGAAGCUCGGGGGGGGUGGGGAUCCCUCUUGUGGAACGGAGAGUGACAUGCUUGGAGGAAGAUUGUCAGCAGGUUCCCAG
rnacentral:lncRNA from 1 species